rnacentral:tRNA from 1 species
UACUAAUGUGGCAGACAAUUGCAGUAAAUUUAGAAUUUACUAAUUCUAA